GAAAAUGCUAAAUUCAGACCCCAAACAGAGGCUGACAGCCAUUCAGGUUCUAAGUCAUCCAUGGAUCAAAGAGGAUGGAGAAGCUCCUGAUACUCCUCUUGACAAUGCAGUAUUGAGUAGGCUCAAGCAAUUCAAAGCAAUGAAUAAUUUCAAGAAAGUUGCUCUAAGGGUCAUUGCUGGCUGUCUAUCUGAGGAAGAAAUUAUGGGAUUGAAGGAGAUGUUCAGGGGAAUGGACACUGACAACAGUGGCACUAUAACACUUGAAGAGCUGAAGCAAGGACUUGCCAAGCAAGGG